AUUGAACGCUGGCGGCAGGCCUAACACAUGCAAGUCGAGCGAGCGGCGGACGGGUGAGUAAUGUCUGGGAAACUGCCUGAUGGAGGGGGAUAACUACUGGAAACGGUAGCUAAUACCGCAUACCAUCAGAUGUGCCCAGAUGUGAUUAGCUGGUAGGUGGGGUAACGGCUCACCUAGGCGACGAUCCCUAGCUGGUCUGAGAGGAUGACCAGAGACGCUGGAACUGAGGCACGGUCCAGACUCCUACGGGAGGCAGCAGUGGGGAAUAUUGCACAAUGAGCGCAAGCAUGAUGCAGCCAUACCGCGUGUGUGAAGAAGGCCUUCGGGUUGUAAAGCACUUUCAGCGGGGAGGCGUUACCCGCAGAAGAAGCACCGGCUAACUCCGGGCCAGCAGCCGCGGUAAUUC
rnacentral:rRNA from 1 species